rnacentral:rRNA from 1 species
AUUGAACGCUGGCGGCAUGCCUUACACAUGCAAGUCGAACGGCAGCACGGGUGCUUGCACCUGGUGGCGAGUGGCGAACGGGUGAGUAAUACAUCGGAACGUACCUUAUCGUGGGGGAUAACGCAGCGAAAGCUGUGCUAAUACCGCAUACGCCCUGAGGGGGAAAGCGGGGGAUCGCAAGACCUCGCGCGAUUAGAGCGGCCGAUGCCUGAUUAGCUUGUUGGUGGGGUAAAAGCCCACCAAGGCGACGAUCAGUAGCUGGUCUGGGAGGACGAUCCGCCACACUGGGACUGAGACACGGCCCAGACUCCUACGGGAGGCAGCAGUGGGGAAUUUUGGACAAUGGGGGCAACCCUGAUCCAGCAAUGCCGCGUUAGUGAAGAAGGCCUUCGGGUUGUAAAGCUCUUUUGUCAGGGAAGAAACACCGGCUCUAACACAGUCCGGGAAUGACGGUACCUGAAGAAUAAGCACCGGCUAACUACGUGCCAGCCGCCGCAGUAA